rnacentral:rRNA from 1 species
AUUGAACGCUGGCGGCGUGCUUAACACAUGCAAGUCGAUCGGUAACGCGGGGGCAACCCUGGCGACGAGAGGCGGACGGGUGAGGAACGCUUGGGAAUCUGCCCUUCAGCGGGGGACAACACGGGGAAACUCGUGCUAAUACCGCAUACGCUCCACGGAGGAAAGCCGGGGACCGCAAGGCCUGGCACUGAAGGAUGAGCCCAAGUCGGAUUAGCUAGUUGGCGGGGUAGCGGCCCACCAAGGCGACGAUCCGUAGCUGGUCUGAGAGGACGAGCAGCCACACUGGGACUGAGACACGGCCCAGACUCCUACGGGAGGCAGCAGUGGGUAAUAUUGAACAAGGGGGGAAACCCUGAUCCAGCGACGCCGCGUGGGUGAAGAAGGCCUGCGGGUUGUAAAGCCCUUUCGGUAGGGACGAAAGCUCUCGACCUAACACGUCGGGAGGUUGACUUAACCUACAAAAGAAGCACCGGCUAACUCUGUGCCAGCCGCCGCCGUAAGAC